AAGGGCGUCGCGCAGGAAGCGCAUCGAAAAACACGGACGGCGUCGCAGGUUCCGCCAGGAUGGCGGAUGAUAGGGAGAUCGCGCAGGAGGCGCAUCGACCGGCAUGGAUGGGGUCG
rnacentral:sRNA from 3 species